CGUGACUCGGGGCGCUCGCGCUUCCGCCCCGAGCUGGGGGGCGGAGCGGCCUCCACCGCGCGCAGGCGCGUUGGGCUCUGGCUGCCCGGGCCCGAGCCGGCUGGGCUGGGCUGGGACCGUUUUGCUGUCGGCGUUUCCGGUGUCCGGCAUCCGGCAGCAUCCUGGCGGGGAGGCGCGCUGAAGCUGUUGGCCAGUGGUUCGGAGGCGACAGGUGCUGAGCCAGCUGAGUCCCGGCCAGAGGGGAGAGCGUUACUUCUUGAAAGCAUAUUUUUAAACAUUUUAUUUUAGAAACCCAGACAUAGGGAAGAGUAGACAGUGUGGUGAACCGUCAUAUACUCAUCACGAUUACUCCUGAGCUGACUGCUGCCAAUCCUCCUCUUUCUGCUGAGGAAGACUGGCCCUGAGCUGACAUCUGUGCCCAUCUUCCUCUACUUUAUACGUGGGACGCCCACCACAGCAUGGCUUGAUAAGUGGUGUGUAGGUCCCUACUGGGAUCCGAACCCAUGAACCGUGGGCUGCCCAAGUAGAGUGCACAAACUUAACCGCUACACCAGCAGCCCAGCCCCAGUAAUUUGUCUAUUUUAUUGGCCUUUUCAAAGAUUACUUCUACUGAUUUUGUUUCAAGUCAUUACUGUUUUCAUUCUGACUUUCCCCCUCAAUUUCUUGAAUAGAAUAUUCAGUUCAGUUAUUUUUAUUUAAAAAUAAAAGGAUUUAAGGGUGUGAGUUAACCCCUGAGAGUAGCGCUGCCCACCGUCCUCUGGACAAUGUAACAAUGUAACAUUCUCCUUGUCCUUAAUUCCAAGGCAGUCUGAUGACAGCCUUAAUUUCCCCUCUGAGGUAAGCAUUAUGCCAGCACUCCUUGAGCCCGGCUUUGUGCAGGGGGCGGUAUUUGGCGCUUGGGAGGUAAUGGCAAGUGAAAGCAGACCAGAGCCUCUCUCAGAAGUUAGCGAGGGAAGACUGGUACUAAAGAAUUAUAAACCGUAAUAAAUGACUCUUCUGAAGCGACGAAAUAUGGUCCUGUGAACGUAUCCUAGAAGAACCUGAUCUAAACGUGGGAAGGGGAGGUGGUCAAGGGCUUCCCCAAGGAAACGACUCUUAGAAUAAGACUUGAGAACGAGCAGAAGUUAAUUAGGCAGUGUCCGAAGUCCAGCCGUGGUUCUCCUGAUACGCAUUGUUGCCCAUACCCGCCAGACUCCAGCAAUCAGCAAUCCCUGCUGUAUUCUGUGCCUUUUUUUUUGGUAAAGAUUGGCACCUGAGCUAACAACUGUUGCCAAUCUUUUUUUUUUUUUUCUUCUUUCUCUCCCCAAAGCCCCCUAGUGCAUAGUUGUAUUUUUUAGUUGUGGGCCCGUCUAGUUGUGGCAUGUGGGAGACUCAGCAUGGCCUGAUGAGUGGUGCCAUGUCCGGGCCCAGGAUCCGAACCAGCAAAACACUCAGCUGCUGAAGCAGAGCACGCGAACUUAACCACUCUGCCACGGCGCUGGCCCCUGUGUUCUGUGCCUUUUCCAUUAUAUAUUUGUAUUGCCAUCCUCCCUUCCAGUUUGGGAGGUUUUUGAUUACUCUUUCAAUCUCUUUACUUGUGAUUGAUCUAUUCAGUUUCUCUAUUUCUUCUUGAUUCAGUUUUCAGAGGUGUAUGAGUCCAAGAAUUCAGCUAUUUCUUCUAUAUUGGCCAAUUUGUUGGCAUAUAGUUUUUCGUAGUAUUCUCUUAUAAUCUUUUGUAUUUCUGUGGUAUCUGUUGUAAUUUUUCCUCUUUCAUUUCUAAUUUUAUUUGAGGCUUCUUUCUUUUUUUCUUGUGAGUCUGGCUAAGGGUUUGUCAAUUUUUUUUAUCUUCUCAAAGAACCAGCUCUUAGUUUCAUUGAUCCUUUGUACCUUUUUUUGGUUUCAAUUUUAUUUCUGCUCUAAUUUUUAUUAUUUCCCUCCUUCUGUUCACUUUGGGCUUCAUUUGUUCUUCUUUUUCUAGUUCUGUUAGGUGUGAUUUAAGAUUGCUUAUUUGAGAUUUUUCUCGUUUGUUAAGGUAGGCCUGUAUUGCUAUGAAUUUCCCUCUUAGGACUGCUUUUGCCAUAUCCCGUAUGAGAUGGUGUGUUGUAUUUUCAUUUUCAUUUGUCUCCAUAGAUUUUUUUAUUUCUCCUUUAAUUUCUUCAAUGAUCCCUUGGUUGUUCAGUAGCACGUUGUUUAGUCUCCACAUCUUUGUCACUUUACCAUCUUUUUUCUUGUAGUUGAUUUCUAGUUUCAUAGCAUUAUGGUUGGAAAAGAUGCUUGAUAUGAUUUCAAUCUUCUUGAAUUUAUUGAGGUUUGCCUUGUUUCCCAACAUAUGGUCUAUCCUUGAGGAUGUUCCAUGUGCACUUGAGAAGAAUGUGUAUUCCGAUGGUUUUGGAUGGAGUGUUCUGUGUAUCUAUUAAGUCCAUCUGGCCUAGGUUUUUCAUUUAAUUCUACUGUUUCCUUGUUGACUUUCUGUCUGGAUGAUCUAUCCAUUGAUGUAAGUGUGUUGAGGUCCCCUACUAUUAUCGUGUUGCUGUUAAUUUCUCCUUUUAGGUCUGUUAAUACUUGCUUUAUGUACUUUGGUGCUCCUGUGUUGGGUGCAUAUAUAUUUAUAAGUGUUAUGUCCUCUUAGUGGAGUGUCCCUUUUAUCAUUAUAUACUGCCCCUUUUGGUCUCUCUUUACUUGUUUUGUCUUGAAGUCUACUUUGUCUGAUAAAAGUAUGGCAGCGCCUGCCUGCUUUUGUUUGCCAUUAGCUUGGAGUAUCGUCUUCCAUCCCUUCGCUCUGAGCCUGUGUUUGUCAUUAAAGCUGAGGUGUGUUUCCUGGAGGCAGCAUAUUGUUGGGUCUUGUUUUUUAAUCCGUCCAGCCACUCUGUGUAUUUUGAUUGGAGAAUUCAAUCUAUUUACAUUUAGAGUGAUUAUUGACAUAUGAGCAGUUAAUGCUGCCAUUUUAUCACUCGUUUUCUGGUGGUUCUGUACUUCCCUUGUUUCUCGUCCUGUAUGUUUCAGACUGCCAAUUCAGUUUGGUGGCUGUCUAUGAUGGUUUUUUCAGUAUCUGUCAUUUGACUUUCUGUUCUGACUUUUUGUUUAGUGGUUACUAUGAAGUUUGUAUAAAAGAUCUCAUACAUGAGAUAGUCCAUUUUCUGAUAGCCUCUUAUUUCCUUAGUCUAAGCAAGUUCCAUCCUUUUCCUCUUUGCUGGCUAAAUUAUUGUUCUCACAAUUUAUUCUGUUUUGUGUUGUGAGUUUGUGGUUAAAAUAAAGUGAUUAUAGUUAUUUUUGAUGUUUUCCUUCCCUUUAUCUUUAAGGUUAUAAUUAAGUGUUUGCUAACCUGUUCUGAUGGAGAGCUGCAAUUUUCUCAUUUUGUCUGCCUGUUUAUUUCCUUGCUCAAGGCUUCGUAAACCCUUUCUUUCUUUUCUUUUCUUUUCUUUAUUUUCUUUCCUUUCUUUUCUUUCUUCCCUUCCUCCCUUCCUUCCUUCCUUUCUCUCUCUUUCUUUCUUUUUUUUUCUUUCAGGUAUGAGGGCCUUCUUGAUCAUUUCAUCUAGGAGACGGUCUUGUGGCAAUGAACUCCCUCAGCUUUUGUUUAUCUGGGAAAGUUUUUAUUUCUCCAUCAUCUGAAGGAUGAUUUUGCUGGAUAGAGUAUUCUUGGCUGAAAGUUUUUGUCUUUCAGAAUUUUGAAUAUAUCAUCCCACUCUCUCCUAGCCUGUAAGGUUUCUGCUGAGAAAUCUGCUGAAAGCCGGAUAGGGGUUCCUUUGUAGAUUAUUUUCUUCUGCCUUGCUGCCCUUAGUAUUUUUUCUUUGUCAUCAACUUUUGCCAGUUUUACUACUAUAUGCCUUGGAGAAGGUCUUUUUACAUUGAUGUAAUUAGGAGUUCUGUUAUCUCCUUUCACUUGUAAUUCCAUCUUCUUCCCCAGGUUUGGAAAGUCCUCAGCUAUUAUUUCUUUGAGCAAGCUCUCUGCUUCUCUCUCCCCCUCUUCCCUUCUGGAAUACCUAUGAUCCUUAUGUUGUAUUUUCUUAUUGAGUUGGAUACUUCUCAGAUAAUUUCUUCAUUUCUUUUUAGUCUUAGUUCUCUCUCCUCCAUGUGAAGCAUUUCUAUAUUUCUAUCCUCUAAAAUGGUCAUUCUGUCUUCUGUUAUAUCAGCUCUGUUAUUUAAG
ensembl:lncRNA